UCGAGUCUGUCUUUCUCUUAAGCAUCAACCCAUUUUUCUCCUUUCAUUAAACCCCUAGACUUCCUGCUCUGCAUCUUCCGAUCCCAUGUAAUCCCCAUCCCCUCCUAUUUUGGCGCCAGUGACUGAAGGAGAGCUCUCGGGGUCCCUGGGGUCUCACUAGUACAUCACAUUUUGUUCACCACCAGGCUGCUGGAUGGCCACAUCCCUGGGACAUGACUGCAGUGGCUUAAUGGGUCCCCAUAAGAACAGUGAUGGAACAGUACUAACGUUUUUCAGCUCCUUCCUCUGCUCCACGUCUACCCUAAGCACUUCCUGUUAACCCACAGUGGUACCAUGUCCAAGAGCACAGCGACCUGUGGGGAGAGAAGCAACUUCCUGUUUCCCCCCUGCGCAGUGCAGUGGAGCCCAGACCCCGCCCCUGCUCUUCCUGCUCGCUGGCACUGGAGGGAAGGAUGCUUAGAGAAGGGCGAGCCUCUCUUUGCAAGUCUAAGAUAACCAGGGGCUUGACGUGCCUGGCUCGCUAACGCAGACGGCUUGAAUGGAGAGGCCCCGAGGGCGCACCCGGCUCCUCUGCGAGCUGCAGCUGGACGAUGCUAAAGAUGGAAAACGGCUGGUCCUCUGCAGACGCCCUUUUGCAGUUUCAGUGAGUUCCUCAGUGACAGGAGCCAGCCUGCCAAAAUGUCAGCAGCAGGACCCGGUCCAAGCCCGGGUCCUCUUGAGAUCCUCUGCCCACUUCUAUCAGCAAACAUCUAGGAAACACAUUAUGAACUGGUCGUAGCUACAACCUCAGAGCGGUCAUUUGGGACACAGGCUCGGUUGUUCAUCUUCAAAGGCAGGUGCCUUUACAGUCCUAUAAACUAGGGCUGCAGACGCCUGCAGAGAUUAGAAUCCCAUGGUUCUCAACCUGAAGGUGCAUCAGAGUCCUAUGAAGAACUUGUAAGGAUUCUCUCUGCCAGUUCUGCGCCUGUGUUCACAAUCUGGCUACGUGGGGCUCCAGAUUUGGAACCAAGAAACAGCGGCCACCACAGAGACCAAGACUUUCCCUCCCUCCCAGUUCCCGGUGAUGAUUCCAAAGCCACCAGGCCAGGAAGUCAUCUGCCUCAGGCUCUAUGAAGUCGGGGAAGGGGAGAGCUGGUCACCUGGAAGGCAGAGGCAGGGACAGAACAGCGAAUGCUCUUAGAAGUGAGGCUGUGACGAGAGGAGACGGGGAAGGCGAAGGCUGAUGGCAACUACCAAUUUCUUCCAGAACAAACUGUUCUAAGAUUUUGGUAGGGUACCAGAGAGUAAAUAUUUUUUUCCCCAUUGUGGGCCAUGCCGACCCUGUUGCAUCUACUCAUGCUGUGACUGCAGAGCAAAAGCAACUUAAACAGUACGUAAACAAGAGGACAGGACUGUGUUCCAGUAAAACUUCAUUUAUAAAAACAGGGGCCCAGCCUCAGGCUCGGGGCCAUAUGUUAUCGAGCCGACGUAAUGAAUAUAUUCAAACAAAAUUACAGAGGAAGAAGAGACGGGAGGUCUGGGUUCUAACUGCAUUUGAACGCAUUGUUUUGAAAAGCAGCGGGUAGGGGAAGCUCAUUAGCACACUCUGCGAAGGGGGCUUCUCUUUCCCCUUCAGAUGGAGAACACUGCCGUGUUCAAGCCCAAAGCUUUUCUGGAGCUACAGAGAAGGGGGAAUAAAUGGGAAAAAGACAUAUUCAUUAAAAAGUUGAUCAAUGCUUUGGAAGCAAUGACUAACCAUCAAUGCCGAGAACACGGCAGAGAGAGGCUGGAGAAAAAAGCCAAGGAUUUGGAGGCCAAAGACCUUCACUGUGACCUGCGGGCCGCACUGGGCAGUGGGAACGUGGUGGCCAAGGUCCAGCCCUUAAGGAAAUGAGCCCCAGGACGGGACAGGCCGCUGUCAGAUGGCUCCGGCUACACGGGUCAGAUGGCAGAGACCCAGGGGAGGGCGACCCGUCUCAGCCUGAAGGGAGGGCAGUUUCCUGGCGGUGGCAACAUGCAGAGCUUUCAAGGGAGAAGACGAUGUUUCUUACAUAAAAGGAAGAGGGGAAUGGGCACGACAAGAAGAGGGCAGCGGCAUGGCACGGCCCGUUUGGCAGCCGGCACCUACGAUGCACCCAUGCAGAGGAGGCGCCCAAACGCCUGCUGAACGGGCCGACAGAGAAGCUGGCGCCGUCCAUAGCUGUCUUUCUGCUGUGUCUGCUCGCUCGGAUAUGGCACUGGAGAAGACACACAGAGAUAAGCCCUGGACCAUGCUCGCUCUGGCUGCCAGGAGGUUCCUGAGAGCCGUUUGCCUAUCUUGACUAUUGCUGGCCAAAUUAGAGUGGAGGUUAUUUCAAUGCAAUAAAAUAAUAUAAACCAUAUUAAUAUUUCAGUUUUUAGCUUGCGGAAACUUUAGAGUAUUUCUGGGCCACCUUAUUUCUAAGUCUUGGUUAAAAACUUAUUUUCCAAGAUAUCUAUACACAAAUGCCUGGGCUCUAGGAGCACACUCACAAGGUAGGAAGCUUUCUAUGCUGGAGUUUGAGCCAGUACGAGGCAUCAACAAUAAGCUGAAGGCCAGGUGGCUGCCUACAGUAUUUCCAGGAGGAUUCUACACGC